rnacentral:rRNA from 1 species
AUUGAACGCUGGCGGCGUGCCUAACACAUGCAAGUCGAGCGGUAACGCGGGAGCAAUCCUGGCGACGAGCGGCGAACGGGUGAGUAACGCUUCGGAAUCUACCCAGUAGUGGGGAAUAACCAACCGAAAGGUUGGCUAAUGCCGCAUACGACCUGAGGGUGAAAGGGGGGGAUCGCAAGACCUCUCGCUAUUGGAUGAGCCGAAGUCGGAUUAGCUAGUUGGUAGGGUAACGGCCUACCAAGGCGACAAUCCGUAGCUGGUCUGAGAGGACGACCAGCCACACUGGGACUGAGACACGGCCCAGACUCCUACGGGAGGCAGCAGUGGGGAAUAUUGGACAAUGGGGGCAACCCUGAUCCAGCGACGCCGCGUGUGUGAAGAAGGCCUGCGGGUUGUAAAGCACUUUUAGUGGGGAUGAAAAGCUCAGGGCUAAUACCCUUGAGUCUUGACCUAACCCAAAGAAAAAGCACCGGCUAACUCUGUGCCAGCCGCCGCUGUAA